CUACUACCUAGAUGGGGUCAAUGGUAGAUCAUGAAUGCUCAUGCCUUAGGUUACUGGCCUACAUUGCACUUAGGAGGAGUGCUCACCUGAGGUCUCCCCGAGGGGGGGGGGGGGGGAGCCUACAUCACAAUCUGUGACAGGGGCUUGCGUUCGCGCAGCUCCUGA